rnacentral:rRNA from 1 species
UCCCUAUGGGGUGCAGCAGGCGCGAAACCUCCACAAUGCGCGAAAGCGUGAUGGGGUUAGCCCGAGUGCUAUCCGAAAAGGAUGGCUUUUCCUUGGCGUAAAAACCCAUGGGAAUAAAGGGGGGGCAAGACUGGCGUCAGCCGCCGCGGUAAUACCAGCUCCCUGAGUGGUAAGGACGAUUAUUUGGCUUAAAGCGUCCGUAGCCGGCUUAGUGAGUCUUUUGUUAAAUCCAAUGAUUUAAUCAUUGAACUGCAAGAGAUACUGCUAUGCUAGAGGACGGGAGAGGUCGACGGUAUUUCCGGGGUAGGGGUGAAAUCCUAUAAUCCCGGGAAGACCACCAGUGGCGAAGGCUGUCGACUAGAACGCGCCCGACGGUGAGGGAUGAAAGCUGGGGGAGCGAACCGGAUUAGAUACCCGGGUAGUCCCAGCUGUAAACGAUGCAGGCUAGGUGUUUGGGCGGCCACGAGUCGCCCUAGUGCCGCAGGGAAGCUGUUAAGCCUGCCGCCUGGGGAGUACGGCCGCAAGGCUGAAACUUAAAGGAAUUGGCGGGGGAGCACCACAAGGGGUGAAGCUUGCGGUUUAAUUGGAUUCAACGCCGGAA